rnacentral:lncRNA from 1 species
CCUUCCCCUGCAUAUUGCUGUGGAAGAACGAGGCUGGGGUGUACAAACCUGCAUUAUUUCCAGAUACUUCAAGAGACGUUUACGAUCAGCUCCUACGCUGGGCCGGCUGGUUAGGAAGGGAGCUAAGACAGAUCCGGUCCUUGCCCUCCAAGAACACACUGUCUACAGAAGCAGAACGUGAAAUAAGUCAUGACAAUGAGAUGUGGUGAGGCGUCCCGCCUUUGUCGUGGGUUCUGUGAGAGUGUUGGGAGAAAAAUCUGUCUCUAGGCUGGCUCUUCUAAUUCUACUGGGCUGUUCACAAACCUGAGGGAUAAAUCCUGAAAAAGUGUGACGCCAACAAAAUGUAGACGAACUGCGGGAACAGACGCAAGGCCACAGUGGCAGAUCAAAGCGAGGCGGCGAGGGGGCAGGCUCAGCUACGCAUGAUGAGGCACUACCAUAAUGAAGUUUGAUCCUGGUAAAGAACACAGGAGCCUGUAGAGGUCCAAGACCAGAAAUCAACCCCACACCCUGGCCCUCAGAAUAAAGAGAUUGUCAGGUCAACUCCACCACGUGCUAUUCACAGCUGUAGAGGAUGGAGCCCUGCACAACUCGUGUCACUCUCUUCUCUGAUAUGGCCCCGGUGCCUGGUCAUUUCUUGUUUAUUAUUUGUUUGAGGGAAGAAAGAAACAGGCUCUCUACUCCCUCGGCGGGGGGCAGGGUGAGGGGAUGGCCACUCGGAUGGAGGCCUGGCAGGCGCAGGAUUGAAUUCGGGCUGAAGGGCAUGGGAGAUGGAGUGACGGCUUCCUGGAAAAGACUGAGAUACAGCUGCACAGUAAUCCAGGCUGGCCACGAAGCUCGCCAUAAAGCCAGUAUGAGAAAUUCCUCCUGCCCGUAUGAUGCAUCCUUAUUUUUUACUUUUAAAAGAAGAACUAUCUUAUGAUUUGGCAUAGAUCAUUGAUCAUGGUGCUUUUCUAUCUCAAAUGUCUCCCAGUGUGUUCUGUGUCAAAUUUACAAAAGACACAGCCGUUAUUUCCACAAAACAUUGGAAGAUUGAGUGACCGUUUGCCUGUAGCUCCUAUCACUUACAAGAGAAGUCCCUUGGGCGUGCUUUACAGAAGCCACUUAUGGGCCCCAAG